rnacentral:rRNA from 1 species
AGCGAACGCUGGCGGCAGGCCUAACACAUGCAAGUCGAGCGGGCAUCCGUGUGGUGUCCGCGGCUGACGGGUGAGUCACGCGUGUGAACGUGCCCUUCGUUUCGGAAUAACUCGGGGAAACUUGAGCUAAUACCGCAUACGUGCUAGAGCAGAAAAGUUUGUCUGCCGAAGGUUGGGCGCGCGCCUGCUUAGUUAUUUGGCUAGGUUAUGGCUCACCAAGGCGACGAUCAGUAGCUGGUCUGAGAGGAUGCGCAGCCACACCUGCGGUGAGACACGGCCAGGAAUCUUACGGGAAGGGGCAAAGGGGAAUAUUGGAAAGUGGGGGCAACCAUGAAGGAGCCAUGCCGCGUGAGCGAUGACGGCUUUAGGGUAGUAAAGCUCUUUUCUCCGGGACGAUAAUGACGGUACCGGAUGAAUAAGCCCCGGCUAACUUCGUG